GGACUCGCGGACCAGGCUUCGACCCUUCUUCAUCUUGCAUCGCGCACGCCCGACUGCCCGAGGAAAACCCAAACCCUGAACCCUAGCUAGCUCGGCCGCCUCCUUCUCUUCCGGCCUCCCCUCUCCUCGCCGCGUAGCCCCUCCCAAAUCCGAUCCUCCGCCGAUUCGCUCGUUCUUCCGGGAGAGUCGCAGCGAGGACGAAGAUGUCGUCCCUGCGGAACUCGAUUCCGCGGCGGGCUCACAAGGAGCGCGCCCAGCCGGAGUCGCGGAAGAAGUACGGGCUUCUGGAGAAGCACAAGGACCAUAUCCUCCGCGCCAGGGCCUACCAGCGCAAGGAGGAUUUCAUCAGGAAUCUGAAGGAGAAGGCAUCGUUCAAGAACCCAGAUGAGUUCUAUUUCAAGAUGAUCAACAGUAAAACCGUGGAUGGAAUCCAUAGGCCCAAGCCUGAAGCAAAUAAUAAGUACACCGAAGAGGAACGUAUGCUCUUGAAGCAUAAAGACAUGGGAUACAUCUUUCAGGCCAUUCAAAGUGAAAGAAAGAAAGUUGAACGAUUGAGCUCAACCCUUCACGCAGUGGAUGACAAGCGUUCAAACAAGCACAUUUACUUUGCGGAAGACAGAGAAGAAGCCAAAGAAAUACGAUCUAGGAUAGGUGAAAGCAGCAGCGCACCUCAAUUUGGUAACAUCCCUUCUCGUAUAAAGAGGAAAACAGCUUCCUCCUACAAGGAGUUAGAAAGCAGGAAAGAAAGGGUUAAGAAUCUUGAGAAAUUGUAUGCGGACAUGGCCUUGCAAAAAGAACUGAAGGUGUGUUUUCUCUGAUGAAUUAGAAUAUUUAUUUUGCUUUGGUGAAGUCGGUAUAAUCCCUUCAGUGACUGAACCAUAAAAUGUUAUGUUAUUUUGUGAAAAUAAUGGCCUUGCAAAAAGAACUGAAGAAACCUGGACGCAAAAGGAAGCUCCGUGAAGAAGAGAUUUUAAAUUCAACAUCACAGCCUGUUUACAAGUGGCGUGCGCAAAGGAAGCGAUGAUAGGAAUGGCGAAAGCUGGACAAUUGGGAACAGACAAGCUGGUGCUUGAAGAGUUUCACUUCCCUGUGACAUUGCCCUUGCCCUUACACAACCCCAUCCAUUGCUUUCAGAUACCUUUAUAACCUUUGCCUGGUGAUAUUUGUGGAUCCUAUGCCGGAGACCAUGUACUGCUAUUAGUCUAUUACCAUAUGUUAAUUUCUCGAAAUGUUAAGUGAUCAGAGUCACCAUGUAGGAACAAUUUUGAUGGAUAUAGUUGAAAUCAUGCCUGUGUUAUCAA